GGAUGAAAGUGGGGGAUCGCAAGACCUCAUGCUCCUGGAGCGGCCGAUAUCUGAUUAGCUAGUUGGUGAGGUAAAGGCUCACCAAGGCGACGAUCAGUAGCUGGUCUGAGAGGACGACCAGCCACACUGGAACUGAGACACGGUCCAGACUCCUACGGGAGGCAGCAGUGGGGAAUUUUGGACAAUGGGCGCAAGCCUGAUCCAGCAAUGCCGCGUGAGUGAAGAAGGCCUUCGGGUUGUAAAGCUCUUUUGUCAGGGAAGAAACGGCUCGAGCUAAUAUCUUGGGCUAAUGACGGUACCUGAAGAAUAAGCACCGGCUAACUACGUGCCAGCAGCCGCGGUAAUACGUAGGGUGCAAGCGUUAAUCGGAAUUACUGGGCGUAAAGCGUGCGCAGGCGGUUUUGUAAGUCUGUCGUGAAAGCCCCGGGCUCAACCUGGGAAUUGCGAUGGAGACUGCAAGGCUUGAAUCUGGCAGAGGGGGGUAGAAUUCCACGUGUAGCAGUGAAAUGCGUAG
rnacentral:rRNA from 1 species